ensembl:misc_RNA Gm56038 predicted gene, 27695
UGCCUGGUCUGCUGAAGCUGACGAAUCGGGAAACCAUGCAAUUGAGGCGAACCUUGGGCUGUUUUAGAGGCGCUGAGGAGCCUUCUCCUGG